AUUCCAUGGUGGGGAAACUUCCUUAAUAACUCCUUAAAGCACUCCCAAGCAUCAUGCAAAGACUCCCCAUCAUUGUGAUGGAAAUUACUAAUUUCACCACUCAAAUU